GAUGAACGCUGGCGGCGUGCCUAAUACAUGCAAGUCGAGCGAACAGAUGAGGAGCUUGCUCCUCUGACGUUAGCGGCGGACGUGUGAGUAACACGUGGAUAACCUACCUAUAAGACUGGGAUAACUUCGGGAAACCGGAUCUAAUAGCGGAUAAGAUAUUGAACCGCAUGGUUCAAUAGUGAAAGACGGUUUUGCUGUUACUUAUAGAUGGAUCCGUGCCGCAUUAGCUAGUUGGUAAGGUAGCGGCCUACAAAGGCAACGAUGCGUAGCCGCCCUGGGGGGGGAACGGCCCACCUGGGAACUGGGACACGGCCCAGACCCCUACGGGGGCAGCCAGUAGGGAAUCUUGCGCAAUGGGCGAAAGCCGAACGAAGCAACGCGGGGUGAGGGAGGAAGUUCUUCGGACCGUAAAACUCUGUUAUUGGGGAAAACCAAUUGUGUAAGUAACUAUGCACGUCUUGACGGUACCUAAUCAGAAAGCCACGGCUAACUACGUG
rnacentral:rRNA from 1 species